rnacentral:ncRNA from 1 species
GGGAGCCGGAUGAGCCGAGAGGUUCACGUCCGGUUCUGCGAGAGGCCGGCGGUGCAAUUCCGCCGGCCUACUCACC